rnacentral:rRNA from 1 species
GACGAACGCUGGCGGCGUGCUUAACACAUGCAAGUCGAACGGACAGGCCCUGCUUUUGUUGCGUGCUCGUGUGGCGAACGGGUGAGUAACACGUGAGUAACCUGCCCUUGUCUUUGUGAUAACUUCAGGAAACUGGGGCUCAUACCGGAUAGGAGCUCCUGCUGCAUGUUGGUGGUUGGAAAGUUUCGGCGGUUGUGGAUGGACUCGCGGGUUAUCAGCUUGUUGGUGUGGUAGUGGCUUACCAAGGCUUUGACGGAUAGCCGGCCUGAGAGGGGGGACGGCCACAAGGGUACUAAGGGAGGGAGCAGACGGCAACGUGAGGCAGAGGGGGGGAGUAUUACACAGUGAGCGGGAGCCUGAGGCGGAAACGCCGCGUUCGUGAAGACGUCCUUCGGGGUGUGAACCGCUGUCGCCUGUGACGAAGCGGGAGUGACGGUAAUGGGUAAAGAAGCACCGGCUAACUACGUG